rnacentral:rRNA from 1 species
UUGACCUCAAAUCAGGCAGGACUACCCGCUGAACUUAAGCAUAUCA